rnacentral:lncRNA from 1 species
CUAAGAAGGGGGUGUCAGUUAUUUUUCAGAUUAUGCAAUAUGGUAUAAACCACACUCCAGUGAGUGGCCCAAAAGCAGAAGUAUAACUCAGCCUACAUUACAGUUGAGGACCAAGUCUUUAAAUAUAGGAGCUUAUGGUGGCCAUUCUCAUUAAAAUUACAAGAGAAAGAGAAGAAAUCAUUAAAUGAGUUGUGGACAGAUCCUGUAAAUACUUCAUGGAAAGUUAAAAUGAAAUCAAAUAAUAUCCUUAGCAGAGCCUUAGUGAUAGAAAUGGAAGUUCAAUAGUCCCAGUAACUGGACUGCUUGAAUGAAUUACCUCAGUUCACCUUGCAUUUGGAGUUAUUAAAGGAAACAACAGAAAGGACAAGAUGGAAACCGGGGAGCCUGAGAUGAAGAGCAGUGAGCAAAGGAGAGAAAGAUUAGUGCUGGUCCUUGGAUGUUCAUCAUUGAUGAGAGUCUUAGGAUACUUGAGAGAAAAAUUUGAUUCUAGGCUGUGGUAGAGCCUC